rnacentral:tRNA from 1 species
CUGUCUGUAGUCCAAUGGAUAGGACGCAGAGCUACGAACUCUGAGAUGGUGGUUCGAUUCCAUUCAGGCAGACCA